CCGGGGGCAGUACCCGGCGGCUCCACCACAAACCGCGUAUUUUCGGGGUUUAUGACGGGGCCGAACUAGGAUCGACGUGUGCUGAAAGACGGUAUUUUCGCCCGGGCUGAGUAACCCGUAAAACUGUUCGCAACACACAAGUGCCAACGAUAACGAAGCACUCGCUCUCGCUGCGUAAUCUGACGGCCUAGCGGCCUGAUCUUACAAAGCUAAAGCGCGGUUGGACCCACCGGGCAACAGAAGCGGAUUCCG
rnacentral:tmRNA from 1 species